rnacentral:rRNA from 1 species
AACGAACGCUGGCGGCAUGCCUAACACAUGCAAGUCGAACGAGACCUUCGGGUCUAGUGGCGCACGGGUGCGUAACGCGUGGGAACCUGCCCUUAGGUUCGGAAUAACUCCCUGAAAGGGGUGCUAAUACCGGAUAAGGUCUUCGGACCAAAGAUUUAUCGCCAUUGGAUGGGCCCGCGUUGGAUUUGCUAGGUGGUAGGGUAAAAGCCUACCAAGGCGACGAUCCAUAGCUGGUCUGAGAGGAUGAUCAGCCACACUGGGACUGAGACACGGCCCAGACUCCUACGGGAGGCAGCAGUGGGGAAUAUUGGACAAUGGGCGAAAGCCUGAUCCAGCAAUGCCGCGUGAGUGAUGAAGGACUUAGGGUUGUAAAGCUCUUUUAACCGGGAUGAUAAUGACAGUACCGGGAGAAUAAGCGCCGGCUAACUACGUG